UCGACUUUCUGUUGCAGAAAGUGAAAGUGCGGGUGGUUACAAACGUACUGAAACAGUUGGAUAAACGUCUGCCUUCUCGAGACUCGCAGCAGCCGCAGGUGGAGAGGCGGUGCAGUCCAAUAAGUGCAGUAUCCAGUAGGGCGAACGGUCUUGGGGGUAGUUUUGAACAGUACCACUGAUACAAUCACGCCUCGUGUGCUUUCAGGGGGCACUUUGAGGCCUGUUAUGCGCUCUGAAAAGCGCAUUACCACACCGCCUUGGUCUCCGAGAUUUCAACAAACGGGUCGCGCUGACUCGAAAAUGGCUCCAUCUGAUGGUUAGUUUAGCUCGAUUUCUGGUGGAAGGUGGUCUACUUCCCAGACAUCUUGCGGAUCAUGUAGUUCAGGUCAGGAUGCCCCCGUUGAGGCCGGAUACACGUCUUCAAACCUUGUCCCUAUACAAAAAGUACUGUGGGUCCUGUUGGCAUCCAGGUCAAAGGCUGAGACCUCACUCGGACUGCUUAAUAACGCUCUGGGAGCCAAGACACACAAAUCUAUCUAGACAGUCACAGACCUUAUGAGUCCAAGAAGCAAAAUUGUUCAGUAUUUCUCUGUUGUAGCGAUUGUGCAAACUUACAGUGGGUUAUUCACAUUGUACACAGCAUGAAAAGUAACACAUGACAACUCUAGCUAUUAUAAAAACACUUCGUACACACACACACACACACACACACACACACACACACACACACACACACACACACACACACACACACACACACACACACACACACUACUCCUACUGCCACUGCGGCAAAUUAACACGCUAAUAAAGUUUUACAAUCUGUGUAAAAGUGUGACUGUAAAAAAAAGAAAAAAGAAAAAGCUAUGAGGUCAUGAAGGCCGGCUGGGUCGUGGACUCCUAUUAGCAGUAGACGUCUGUCUACCGGGGGUCCCUGUUGAAUGUACGGGGGGCUCCAGUGGGUCUCUGCUGGUGGGUUCUGCCUUCAGAAGUCGGACGACUUUGUUGUAGCACAGCUGAUGGGAGGGGGAUGGCGGCCGGUCACGUUUCAGUUCCAUACCAGUCAUUCUCAGGCUCACUCCCCUCUUUCAACACUUUCUCUCAUCCCCUGUAACCCCCUCCCCCUGCCCACAUAAACGCAGAUGUACAUUUGACCUUAUAUAAUAUCAAUAAAGCAGCAGCAAUCUGGAUAUUA